rnacentral:rRNA from 1 species
GAUCCUGGCUCAGAUUGAACGCUGGCGGCAGGCCUAACACAUGCAAGUCGAACGGUAACAGGAAGCGAGCUUGCUGCUUUGCUGACGAGUGGCGGACGGGUGAGUAAUGUCUGGGAAACUGCCGUGAUGGAGGGGGAUAACUACUGGAAACGGUAGCUAAUACCGCAUAACGUCGCAAGACCAAAGAGGGGGACCGUUACGGGGCCGUCUUGCCAUUCGGAUGUGCCCAGAUGGGAUUAG